UAUUAAACAUUCAUCUAUAUUGUUAAAAACCGGCAUGACUAACAUAAUAAUCAAACAGUUAUAAGUGACAUGCCACGUGUACCUCAUUCUGACACACACAGAUCAAUUUUUAAUAGUAAAAAUAGAUAAAAUUUUAACA
rnacentral:pre_miRNA from 1 species